AGUCACUGACAUUAGAUACCCCUGUAGUCCAGGGUGUAAACGCUGCAGACUUGGUGUUGGAAGUCCUUUGGGGGCAUUCAGUGCCGGAGAGAAGUUGUUAAGUCUGCUACUUGGGGAGUACGUCCGCAAGGAUGAAACUUAAAGGAAUUGGCGGGGGAGCACCGCAACGGGAGGAGCGUGCGGUUUAAUUGGAUUCAACACCGUAAACUCACCAGGGAAGACUGUUACAUGAAAGUCAGGUUGAUGACCUUACUAGAUUUUCAG
rnacentral:rRNA from 1 species